rnacentral:tRNA from 1 species
GGGGUGGUGGCGUAGUUGGCUAGCGCGUAGGUCUCAUAGCUAUAAUGUGAGUGAUCCUAAGGUCGAGAGUUUGAGCCUCUAUCACCCCA